rnacentral:sRNA from 1 species
GAUUAGCUGCCGAAGACAGCAGGUGCCGUAAGGUAUAAUGAUGAAAACGCCUGCCGAGGAAAGUUUCAUUCUUAAUAACAGAAGCAGAGAUGCAGAUCUUUGCGGAUUCUAAGAUUGAUCAAUACCUCUUUGUCUUUCCGGCAAAGAGGUUUUUCUUAU